UCUAAACUGGGAGAUGCAAUGAUUAUUAUUAGAGAUUAUUUUUCCUUCAGAUAGGCCUUGGCAUAGUACUAGACGAUUCUUGGUGUGUAAUUGCUGAAUCGAAGACGACGUCGUAAACGAAUGGAGGCGAUCGAGAAUAGUGCAUCUUAGCCAUCUUACAUAUUUCAGAUCGUGUUGAUGCAAACUGACUGAACGUAAACAAGCUGCGAAUGUUGACAUCGGAAACUGCUUGAGCGGAACAGAAACUACGGUUAAACAAAUAUUCAUUAAUUAGAAAUUACAGGCCAUAAUAUAGCACUAGAUUGAACUGAGUGUGUAUUUGCGUUGAAUCAGAGACCCAUGGGAAGAUAUGCCUGUGCAAAGAUGUUUGGACCAUUUCAUAAAUAAGAUCUACAUAAUUGAUGAAUUAAAAACUCAACAGAGAUGGUUGUGUUGGGAUGUUCCGGAUAUAGUACAGGUGAUUAUAAUUGCUUACUUUUUUUUAAAUUAUUUCAACGGUCACUUCUGUUGUUAAUGUCCAAACCUGUUUUUUUUGUCAUGUCAAGAAUUUACGUGGGCCCAAGUAGCGUUCUCUUUUUCCAUAUCUUUCAGUUAUUUCAGAUAUUCAGAUACAUGACUAAUAGCUGAAAAUAAACUAAAUAAUAAUACAGUUAGGCCAUAACAUAGUAUUAAAGCGAGGGUUGUCGCCAAAUUCCUGAAUCGAAGACUCACGUAAGUUUAGUUGAAGAGAGGCGAUCAAGGAUUAAUAAGGUAACUGUUAAUUUAUUUACACUUAUAAGUGCAUAACCGCAUGGCAAUAUAGUAUACAAUGUAGGAUUCCGUCAGAGUCAUUGUAUUGUCUUCUUAUAUUACCCUUAACAUGAAUCUGAUUACAUAUAAAGGUUUUAUACUACUGGGCUCUUGCGCUGAGAAAUGUACGUUCGUUGUAAGUGUAUUCAGAUUUACACUUUGAAUAGUCUUCCAAUGAAUCCUUCGUUUCAGCUGUUUCACAAAUAAUAUUUAUUCUAAAGGCAAUUAAUAAAUGAUCUUGUUUCAUUCGCAGUCUUCUCGUUAUCUUGCAUGAAAUUUUUUUUUUUUUUUUACAUUUAUGUUUACUUAUGCAGUUAGACAGACUAAUAUUAGGCCUAAAAUCGUUAUUUCGAGGUGGAAUUGGACCACACGUUUUGGAAAUGUUGGCAUCGGGAUCAGCUAGAGGAAAUGCGAAAUUGUCGGAAUGUGAAAUUAGUCUUUAAAUGUAUUCAUUGGGAGCUGACAGCUGUUUAUCAAAUCAGCGUAGGACUUCCGCUACGUCUGGGACUAAAACAAAAAUUGUCAAUCGGUGCUUGAAAGUAUCCAAUGCAAGCGAAAAACAUCAAGCAAAAUACGACUUUUCUGUGCGUCUUGAACAUAAACAAGGUUCUGUCCGGAUUACGGAACAAGCUGAUUGCAGCGACAACGGAUCUCACAAAUCAUUUGUUCGUAGAAGGCAGUGGAAUCCGCUAUGAUAUUGAAAUGGUCUUCUACCGAUGUGAUCGUUUCUUUUGAUCAGCUCUUGUGUACCUGCAGGUUGCGUUCUGGAUUGAAAGGUCAAAGAAGAGAUUGACAACACGGCGACAGAAAUAAAUGGCUUGAUAGUUCUUCAGAAUUAUAUAAAUCGAAUAUUUUUAUUUUUCCUUAACCACUCUUUUACCUUGGUUUGUCGGAUAUCAAAGCCUACCCCAUAUCUACGUGAAAGUUUAAAAUGCGCCCCCUUGAUUUUACUGAAUUCUUUAACGACUGUUUGUUGCUUUGGGAUAAUUUGUGUUAUCAAAAUGAGGUUUCACCCAUUGUGCGCUCUUAUCCAAAUGGCGGCCAUGGCUGGGUGCGGGGGCAGUGGCCCUCAUGCCUAAAUAUGCCACGGAGCCAAGGUAUCACCCAAAAAUUCACAAUUCUUCAUUUCAUGUCUGAUCUAGUCGGAAAAGCUUAAUAUCUCAAUGUUGCUCGCUUUUAAACAAUCUGCCCCUGCAUUCUCACUAAUAUCUCAAAACCUAAUCCAUCUCUCGUAUAUUUUUUCUGAGCGCUAGCUAAUGUUUUGGGUGAGUUCCCCAGAUUACAUUUUUUUAGCCCUUCAUUUCAGAGAUUUCGCACCCAAGAAUUGGCUUGAUCGGAAAGCUAGCAAACGUUCAAAGUAAGCCAAGGCUCUUACAAUAUGUUUUCGUGUAUUUAUUCCUUUUUGUGAAGAAUAAUAAAAUUAUUA